AGAGUUUGAUCCUGGCUCAGAACGAACGCUGGCGGCGCGUUUUAAGCAUGCAAGUCGAACGGUAGAAAGGUGCUUGCACCUUUUGAGAGUGGCGAACGGGUGAGUAACACGUAGAUAAUCUGCCUUUGGAUUGGGGAUAGCAUAUGGAAACAUAUGGUAAUACCGAAUAAGAUCUUUACAUCAGAAGAUGUAUAGAGGAAAGGUGCUUAGGCACCGUCCGAAGAUGAGUCUGCGGUUCAUUAGCUAGUUGGUGGGGUAAGAGCCUACCAAGGCGACGAUGAAUAGCCGGCCUGAGAGGGUGGACGGCCACACUGGGACUGAGACACGGCCCAGACUCCUACGGGAGGCAGCAGCUAAGAAUCUUCCGCAAUGGGGGAAACCCUGACGGAGCGACGCCGCGUGAACGAUGAAGGCGGAAACGUUGUAAAGUUCUUUUCUUGGGGAGGAAUAAGUCUGGUAGGUAAUGACCGGAUGAUGACGUUAACCAAGGAAUAAGCCCCGGCUAAUUACGUGCCAGCAGCCGCGGUAACACGUAAGGGGCAAGCGUUGUUCGGAAUUAUUGGGCGUAAAGGGCGCGUAGGCGGUUUUACAAGCCUGGUGUGAAAUACCUCAGCUUAACUGAGGAAACGCGCUGGGAACUGUAAGACUAGAAUCUAGGAGGGGAAGCUGGAAUUCCUGGUGUAGGGGUGAAAUCUGUAGAUAUCAGGAAAAAACCGGUGGCGAAGGCGAGCUUCUGGCCAUAGAUUGACGCUGAGGCGCGAAAGCGUGGGGAGCGAACAGGAUUAGAUACCCUGGUAGUCCACGCUGUAAACGAUGUGCACUAGGUGUUGGGUCUUAAGGCUCAGUGCCGUAGCUAACGCGUUAAGUGCACCGCCUGGGGAGUAUGCCCGCAAGGGUGAAACUCAAAGGAAUUGACGGGGGCCCCGCACAAGCGGU
rnacentral:rRNA from 1 species